rnacentral:rRNA from 1 species
CCGCCUGUCACACCAUGGGAGUGGGUUUCACCAGAAGCAGUUAGCCUAACCGCAAGGAGGGCGAUUGCCACGGUGAGAUUCAUGACUGGGGUG